AAUGAACGCUGGCGGCAGGCCUAACACAUGCAAGUCGAACGGAUCCUUCGGGAUUAGUGGCGGACGGGUGAGUAACGCGUGGGAACAUACCCAAAGGUACGGAAUAGUCUCGGGAAACUGGGAGUAAUACCGUAUGUGCUCGAAAGAGGAAAGAUUUAUCGCCUUUGGAUUGGCCCGCGUUGGAUUAGGUAGUUGGGGGGGUAAUGGCCUACCAAGCCGACGAUCCAUAGCUGGUUUGAGAGGAUGAUCAGCCACACUGGGACUGAGACACGGCCCAGACUCCUACGGGAGGCAGCGGUGGGGAAUCUUAGACAAUGGGGGAAACCCUGAUCUAGCCAUGCCGCGUGAUCGAUGAAGGCCUUAGGGUUGUAAAGAUCUUUCAGGUGGGAAGAUAAUGACUGUACCACCAGAAGAAGCCCCGGCUAACUCCGUGCCAGCCGCCGCCGUAA
rnacentral:rRNA from 1 species